UCACCCCUCAAGCCCCCGUGCUUGGUGCUGGACGGCCUGGCCGAGGUUUACUCGGCCCCUCCUAAAGACAAUGACGGCGGCCUGUGGUUCCCCCGGUACACUGAGCUUUUAACUGAGCACGUAUCGGACAAGGGCGCCCGGGACACGGUCCAUCUUCCCUUCAGCGGGAAAGCUUUCAA
rnacentral:misc_RNA from 1 species